AGCAAGACCUGCAAGGUGGCUCCCAUGGGUGUGCACCAACCCGAGGUGUGUGUGAGGUGUGAGGUGUGUGUACUGCACUGUUAUCCACUUUUGCACACCGCUCCACCUUUGCACAGGACCGGAUGGAUACCUUAACCGCACAUGUGACAGGUGGCUGUGGGGGUUUCACAGAAGUACAUCAUCAUCAUCAUCAUCAUGUCCCUGUGAGCGCAUGCGUCAGACAAUGCAGCCCAGCUUCCUGCAUGUCACGGUGGUCACCGGACAGCUUGACAAACCUUGGCAGCCGCCCUAAGAUGAGGACUGGAAUUGAGGAAGUAAGGCGAGUCUCUCCUCCCUCGCUGAAACGGAUGGGUGCCAUUUAUGCAUGGCAUCCAUCCCUGUGGAUUUCCUGGAAGAGCCACCCUGUUGUCAUAUACUUUAAUAUGUUAUUAAAACGUAUUAUACUUUA